CAAGAGUCAACAUGCAAGAAAAAAGAAGUCAAUCACUGUGUGGAAUGUAAUUGCAAUUGCCCAAUGGAGUUCAAAGAGGGGCGUCAAGCAGUUGACUAGGGUUUUUGCUUUUGGUUCUCUGCUUAGGAAAUGAAGAAACCCUUUUAAAACCAUCGGAGGAGCGUGUGAAUUUUGAAACCAAUUGGUACUUUGAGAAGGUGAAGGAGAAGGAAAUGGACAUACAGCAGUCAUGGAGGGUGAGAUUGUCCUUCAAGAACGCGACGAUUGUCUUGACAAUAUUCAAUGUGAUCACUGCCCUUUUCUUGCUCCAGGGCUUUCUCUCUUCUGCCUCUUCCCGCAACAACAGACUCUCAUCUAACCAAUUCAAUUCAGGUUAUGUUUCAAUCCCUUUCUUUGAACAUCAAAUAUUAUUGUAAGCAAAUAUAGUGGGGAAAUUGGGUUUUGUGGAAUUUUGUUUUUCAUUUCGAAAUUAUUGCCUUACUGGUAUCUAGUUAAUGACUAUUUGGUUAAAUGGGAAAAUUUGCCUGUUUGUUUUAAUUCUAUUGUAUCUGAAAGAAGGGACCCUAUCUUUAUCCUUUUUAACUUCCAUCUGUUUUCUGAUUUCUGGUUAAUUUGAUGAUUGUAUCUUAAAAUAAAGAUUGGUUUUUGGUUUUGCCUUUUGUGCGUGUUUCUAUUUAUUGAUGAAUUAGACAACCACAUAUGUUAAGGUUUGGUUUUACGAUUUCCCAAUUUGGAUGUGGAAAUUGGUGGAUUGUUUUUGUACUUGACAAUGGAACUUGUGUCGCUGCAUUAUUUUUGAAUUUUCUUGGCCACAGACAAAUAUCUCAAUUUGGGUUUACCAAUUGAAACUUCAGAUCAUAUUCAGUUCAUACAAGGCCUCCAAACUUAUAUUUCGUCCUGUAUAUUUCUGGUUAUCAGCUAUAUCAGUGGAUUUUACUUGACCUACAUAUGUUCCAUUAAAGUCUUUGAAAUGAUUAAUCUGGAUGUUUGUUCAAUCCGUCCCCAAAUUUCCUUCAUGUAAAUUGCCUCCUCCAGUUAUUUUGCUUCCCUUUUAAGCUGGGUCCGGUUUGUUAAUCAGUUGAGGAAGAUUAUCAUUGAUGGGAAAAAUGUGGAAACUAAAUCUUUAUUUGAUGAAAAAUGUAUAUUAAAUAUUGUAAUGCUUAAUUUAGAAAUUGUGCACCGGGAAAGCCUUUUUAAUUCCCAAUUUACUUUUUUAAGUAUUAUUGUGUAUGACAUUUAUCGCUGAAAUAUCAGAUAAGAACGUUAUACUGACCAUAGAGGCUCCACUAUAAAAUAUCAUGGCUUGGCCUCUAUAUAGAUUUGUUCCUUGUCUGUUAUAUGCAUAUUCUUUGUAAACUUCUCACCAGCCAAAAUGGAAAUCCUGAUAUAGAAUGCUUGGAAGUUCUGAUGGUUUUGGUACAUGUGCAGAAUUCUCAGAAAAUUUUCAAUCUUGAUUGAACAUUAGGGAGAAUCAAGUUUUUUCUCUUUGAUUGUUUACUUAGGCCUAAAUUUUGUGACACAGACCAUUUAUUUUGUUAAAGACUGAUUUUUAUAUUUUUCUCCUUGAUUUUUCCCUUGUCACCAAACAAUUUUGGUACCUAUUACUUUAGAAACCUAAAGUGAAAAUCAGACUAUAUUACUACAUAUUGCAAUCAGUGUAAUUGCCAUGCAUUCUUUCAAAUACUACCUUUUCUAUCACAUUGGUUUCUAAAACUUGAUCCCUUCAAAAUUAGUUCACUAUUGUUGAUGUUCUUAAUACUUGAGACAUCCAUUAAGUAAUUUCACCUAAGUGACUGGAGUCUGAAUCUAAACAAGGGAUUGGCUGCAUACUAUCAACAGUUGUUAGUCAUAGGAUGGUGUAAUUUCAUGAUUGAGAAUGCACCUUUAAGUGCUAUGACUUGGUGCAUGUUAAUAGUCUGCCAUAUUUAAGACCUUUUGGUUGACAUGAAAAUUUUACUUGACAGCUUAGAAAAUACAGAUGUUCAAGUUAUAGUUCUUGAACAUAGGUGUUGUGGCACUAUAUAUCAUUAAGGUUUGACAUGACUCUAGAAGGUUGCUGUUCUUUACAAGGGUCACUGAGCUUAUUAAUCAUAUUUCUUGGUUUCCAGUGCAUUUUAUUUUUUUGUUAUGUUUCUAGGCCACGAGUAAUUGACAUAGAUAACCAUGUUCUAAUGUCAAAUUGAAAUGCAGUUCAGCUGAAAUACAUCAAGGAGUCUGAAGAGAUACGCCUUGCCUUGCAACCUUGGGCACUGAUAAAAAGAGUUAAGGAAAUUGAACAAGAAGCUUAUGCAGAACCAGAAACAGUGCAACAGAAAGAUACAAAGCAAACUGCUGCUGUUGAUCUUUCUAAAAGAUUAAAGGAUUUGCGUUCUAUUAAUGAUGCUGCCAGCUUGAAAGGUGACUCACCAUACCACCCAUUAACAAAAUUCCAUCUCUCUCUAUCUGCAAUUGGUUGCAUCUCUGUCUGCGUGAUUCAUGAUUCCUACAUGGAAUGAACUUAUAUAUAAGGUUCUAUGACAUACUCUGGAGGAAUGGCGCAAAAGAAAGAUGGAACGAGCCAGACUACGGGAACGGGAGAAGAAUGGAACAGGGACCUCUCAAGCUUGAUGACCUUCCACAAUUGGUUGUUCCAAUAAUUAUGUGGACUUCAAACCUUCUGCUCCAUAAAAGUCAUUUCAAAAUGUAUACGUGUAUAUAUUGCAACCAUAAUUCCAUGAAAAAUAGAGCACUUGUAUUUGCCAUCUCACAGAUCAUU
rnacentral:misc_RNA from 1 species